rnacentral:rRNA from 1 species
GACGAACGCUGGCGGCGUGCUUAACACAUGCAAGUCGAACGGAAAGGCCCUGCUUUUGUGGGGUGCUCGAGUGGCGAACGGGUGAGUAACACGUGAGUAACCUGCCCUUGACUUUGGUAUAACUUCAGGAAACUGGGGCUAAUACCGGAUAGGAGCUCCUGCUGCAUGGUGGGGGUUGGAAAGUUUCGGCGGUUGGGGAUGGCUUCGUGGCUUAUCAGCUUGUUGGUGGGGUAGUGGCUUACCAAGGCUUUGACGGGUAGCCGGCCUGAGAGGGUGACCGGCCACAUUGGGACUGAGAUACGGCCCAGACUCCUACGGGAGGCAGCAGUGGGGGAUAUUGCACAAUGGGCGGAAGCCUGAUGCAGCAACGCCGCGUGCGGGAUGAGGGCCUUCGGGUUGUAAACCGCUUUCGCCUGUGACGAAGCGUGAGUGACGGUAAUGGGUAAAGAAGCACCGGCUAACUACGUG